AAACAGAUGCUAAUACCGCAUAACAACUUGGACCGCAUGGUCCGAGCUUGAAAGAUGGCUUCGGCUAUCACUUUUGGAUGGUCCCGCGGCGUAUUAGCUAGAUGGUGGGGUAACGGCUCACCAUGGCAAUGAUACGUAGCCGACCUGAGAGGGUAAUCGGCCACAUUGGGACUGAGACACGGCCCAAACUCCUACGGGAGGCAGCAGUAGGGAAUCUUCCACAAUGGACGAAAGUCUGAUGGAGCAACGCCGCGUGAGUGAAGAAGGGUUUCGGCUCGUAAAACUCUGUUGUUAAAGAAGAACAUAUCUGAGAGUAACUGUUCAGGUAUUGACGGUAUUUAACCAGAAAGCCACGGCUAACUACGUGCCAGCAGCCGCGGUAAUACGUAGGUGGCAAGCGUUGUCCGGAUUUAUUGGGCGUAAAGCGAGCGCAGGCGGUUUUUUAAGUCUGAUGUGAAAGCCUUCGGCUCAACCGAAGAAGUGCAUCGGAAACUGGGAAACU
rnacentral:rRNA from 1 species